rnacentral:misc_RNA from 1 species
CUGAGUUACCGCUCUAUAACCCUUUGUGAACAUACCUACAACUGUUGCUUCGGCGGGUAGGCCGUCCCCUGAAAAGGACGCCUCCCGGCCCGGACCGGACCCCCCGUGGGACCGGACCCGGCGCCCGCCGGAGGAUAACCAAACUCUAUUGUAACGACGUUUCUUCUGAGUGGCAUAAGCAAAAUAAUCA